GCGAGGAUGGCGGAAUUGGUAGACGCGCUGGUUUUAGGUACCAGUACCAUCGGUGUGGGGGUUCGAGUCCCCCUCCUCGUA
rnacentral:tRNA from 1 species